rnacentral:rRNA from 1 species
GGUUAAGCGACUAAGCGUACACGGUGGAUGCCCUGGCAGUCAGAGGCGAUGAAGGACGUGCUAAUCUGCGAUAAGCGUCGGUAAGGUGAUAUGAACCGUUAUAACCGGCGAUUUCCGAAUGGGGAAACCCAGUGUGUUUCGACACACUAUCAUUAACUGAAUCCAUAGGUUAAUGAGGCGAACCGGGGGAACUGAAACAUCUAAGUACCCCGAGGAAAAGAAAUCAACCGAGAUUCCCCCAGUAGCGGCGAGCGAACGGGGAGCAGCCCAGAGCCUGAAUCAGUGUGUGUGUUAGUGGAAGCGUCUGGAAAGGCGCGCGAUACAGGGUGACAGCCCCGUACACAAAAAUGCACAUGCUGUGAGCUCGAUGAGUAGGGCGGGACACGUGGUAUCCUGUCUGAAUAUGGGGGGACCAUCCUCCAAGGCUAAAUACUCCUGACUGACCGAUAGUGAACCAGUACCGUGAGGGAAAGGCGAAAAGAACCCCGGCGAGGGGAGUGAAAAAGAACCUGAAACCGUGUACGUACAAGCAGUGGGAGCACGCUUAGGCGUGUGACUGCGUACCUUUUGUAUAAUGGGUCAGCGACUUAUAUUCUGUAGCAAGGUUAACCGAAUAGGGGAGCCGAAGGGAAACCGAGUCUUAACUGGGCGUUAAGUUGCAGGGUAUAGACCCGAAACCCGGUGAUCUAGCCAUGGGCAGGUUGAAGGUUGGGUAACACUAACUGGAGGACCGAACCGACUAAUGUUGAAAAAUUAGCGGAUGACUUGUGGCUGGGGGUGAAAGGCCAAUCAAACCGGGAGAUAGCUGGUUCUCCCCGAAAGCUAUUUAGGUAGCGCCUCGUGAAUUCAUCUCCGGGGGUAGAGCACUGUUUCGGCAAGGGGGUCAUCCCGACUUACCAACCCGAUGCAAACUGCGAAUACCGGAGAAUGUUAUCACGGGAGACACACGGCGGGUGCUAACGUCCGUCGUGAAGAGGGAAACAACCCAGACCGCCAGCUAAGGUCCCAAAGUCAUGGUUAAGUGGGAAACGAUGUGGGAAGGCCCAGACAGCCAGGAUGUUGGCUUAGAAGCAGCCAUCAUUUAAAGAAAGCGUAAUAGCUCACUGGUCGAGUCGGCCUGCGCGGAAGAUGUAACGGGGCUAAACCAUGCACCGAAGCUGCGGCAGCGACGCUGAUGCGUUGUUGGGUAGGGGAGCGUUCUGUAAGCCUGCGAAGGUGUGCUGUGAGGCAUGCUGGAGGUAUCAGAAGUGCGAAUGCUGACAUAAGUAACGAUAAAGCGGGUGAAAAGCCCGCUCGCCGGAAGACCAAGGGUUCCUGUCCAACGUUAAUCGGGGCAGGGUGAGUCGACCCCUAAGGCGAGGCCGAAAGGCGUAGUCGAUGGGAAACAGGUUAAUAUUCCUGUACUUGGUGUUACUGCGAAGGGGGGACGGAGAAGGCUAUGUUGGCCGGGCGACGGUUGUCCCGGUUUAAGCGUGUAGGCUGGUUUUCCAGGCAAAUCCGGAAAAUCAAGGCUGAGGCGUGAUGACGAGGCACUACGGUGCUGAAGCAACAAAUGCCCUGCUUCCAGGAAAAGCCUCUAAGCAUCAGGUAACAUCAAAUCGUACCCCAAACCGACACAGGUGGUCAGGUAGAGAAUACCAAGGCGCUUGAGAGAACUCGGGUGAAGGAACUAGGCAAAAUGGUGCCGUAACUUCGGGAGAAGGCACGCUGAUAUGUAGGUGAAGUCCCUUGCGGAUGGAGCUGAAAUCAGUCGAAGAUACCAGCUGGCUGCAACUGUUUAUUAAAAACACAGCACUGUGCAAACACGAAAGUGGACGUAUACGGUGUGACGCCUGCCCGGUGCCGGAAGGUUAAUUGAUGGGGUCAGCGCAAGCGAAGCUCUUGAUCGAAGCCCCGGUAAACGGCGGCCGUAACUAUAACGGUCCUAAGGUAGCGAAAUUCCUUGUCGGGUAAGUUCCGACCUGCACGAAUGGCGUAAUGAUGGCCAGGCUGUCUCCACCCGAGACUCAGUGAAAUUGAACUCGCUGUGAAGAUGCAGUGUACCCGCGGCAAGACGGAAAGACCCCGUGAACCUUUACUAUAGCUUGACACUGAACAUUGAGCCUUGAUGUGUAGGAUAGGUGGGAGGCUUAGAAGUGUGGACGCCAGUCUGCAUGGAGCCGACCUUGAAAUACCACCCUUUAAUGUUUGAUGUUCUAACGUUGACCCGUAAUCCGGGUUGCGGACAGUGUCUGGUGGGUAGUUUGACUGGGGCGGUCUCCUCCUAAAGAGUAACGGAGGAGCACGAAGGUUGGCUAAUCCUGGUCGGACAUCAGGAGGUUAGUGCAAUGGCAUAAGCCAGCUUGACUGCGAGCGUGACGGCGCGAGCAGGUGCGAAAGCAGGUCAUAGUGAUCCGGUGGUUCUGAAUGGAAGGGCCAUCGCUCAACGGAUAAAAGGUACUCCGGGGAUAACAGGCUGAUACCGCCCAAGAGUUCAUAUCGACGGCGGUGUUUGGCACCUCGAUGUCGGCUCAUCACAUCCUGGGGCUGAAGUAGGUCCCAAGGGUAUGGCUGUUCGCCAUUUAAAGUGGUACGCGAGCUGGGUUUAGAACGUCGUGAGACAGUUCGGUCCCUAUCUGCCGUGGGCGCUGGAGAACUGAGGGGGGCUGCUCCUAGUACGAGAGGACCGGAGUGGACGCAUCACUGGUGUUCGGGUUGUCAUGCCAAUGGCACUGCCCGGUAGCUAAAUGCGGAAGAGAUAAGUGCUGAAAGCAUCUAAGCACGAAACUUGCCCCGAGAUGAGUUCUCCCUGACCCUUUAAGGGUCCUGAAGGAACGUUGAAGACGACGACGUUGAUAGGCCGGGUGUGUAAGCGCAGCGAUGCGUUGAGCUAACCGGUACUAAUGAACCGUGAGGCUUAACCUU